rnacentral:lncRNA from 1 species
GAGGAUGCAGCAAAGUCUCCUCGCCUGGUUGGUUCAGGGGAUCAUGAUGAACUUACUCCUCUCUGCAGCUUCUGCCAGGUCGCUACUCCUGCAACAGCAUCAUCACCGGGAUCAAGGUAAGCUGAGAUAUCACAGAGAGAAAGAGUGCAGGAGAAAUGCUCACACCUCGACAGCUCGUUUCAAAUCUUCCAGAGUCGUCAUUAAAGGCGAGGUUUUGCUUUCCCCUCACUCGUCUCGGCUUCUUAAAGAGGUAAGAGCUGGCACGAACAAUUCAUUUCUCGCCGCAUCUGAUCGCAUGGUUUUGGACACAGAGAGUUGUUUCGGAUGGGCUGAAAGCAGCGGCAACAACUGCGGCAGAAGCACAAACGCAACGAGUCAGAACUCCGCUGCCAGAAAAGAUAUCUUCGAGAUCUCAAAAACAGGAGAUCGAUUUCAAGAGCUACACGCUGCAUGACAAUCGCCACCACCACCAAAAGCCGAGAGAGAGCGAGGACUACACCUUUCAUGUAGACUACGCCGGACCCAAGCGACAUCCUCCCCACAGUCAUUGACCCGAUGUUCCAUUCUCAGCCACUUCUUUCAGAUACUUCAAUGCAGGACACUGCCAGCAAAAAGAAAAACAUGUAGUAGUUAGAACCUGCUCGAAAUCGAGUAUCAGAUCUUCUUUCACGGCGGAAAAAUUCAGCUGCUUUUUUACCUUGUAAAAAUUCUCCAAUAAAACCUUGAAAAGGAGCUUCAAUCAGCCACGAAAGCAUGGCAGCCUUACGCAUAAAAAAAAC